rnacentral:rRNA from 1 species
UCCAGACUCCUACGGGAGGCAGCAGUGGGGAAUAUUGGGCAAUGGGGGAAACCCUGACCCAGCGACGCCGCGUGAAGGAAGAAGGCUUUCGGGUUGUAAACUUCUUUUAAGAGGGAAGAGUAGAAGACGGUACCUCUUGAAUAAGCCACGGCUAACUACGUGCCAGCAGCCGCGGUAAUACGUAGGUGGCAAGCGUUGUCCGGAUUUACUGGGCGUAAAGGGAGCGCAGGCGGCGCGCCAAGUCUGCUGUGAAACCCCGGGGCUCAACCCCGGGCAUGCAUUGGAAACUGGCGGGCUGGAGUGCCGGAGAGGUAAGCGGAAUUCCUAGUGUAGCGGUGAAAUGCGUAGAUAUUAGGAGGAACACCAGUGGCGAAGGCGGCUUACUGGACGAUAACUGACGGUGAGGCGCGAAAGCGUGGGGAGCAAACAGGAUUAGAUACCCCAGUA